AAGAUAAUACUCUUUGUUAUUCCUGAGGAUAUUCAGUGAAUUAACUACAGACCAUAAAUAAAUGUCAAGGAUCACUUCUUUGCAUUUCUGUCCUCUGCACUUGCUGGAUCACGAUAGGUGCUCAGUAAAUGUUUGUCCAAGUGACUGAGCUGAGCUCAGUUCUCGUUUCAGAUCUCACCCAGCUCUAGAGGGGCCACAUCUUUGAGACCAAACACGCCAAAAUAGGGUACAGUCAGGCUCAGGUUUAGAUUUCAAACAGUUCGUUCUAAUUUUGAGUCUGUUUCUUAGGCUUCAAUUACAGCCAUGCUUCUGACCCAGAGUGAUUAGUAGAAUUUGUUAGAUCUUUCUGGUGAAAAAGGAAGUGAUCAGAUGGGUCUCAGGUGCCCUGAAAUGCGUUCCUGAAAACUGCAUGAGGGGAGCAGAGCUGGGAAAACAGGUGUCUGCUAAAAAUUUUACAAUACCCUCUCCCACCACCAGAGGGCGCACUUCUACAGCGAAGAUGAAGCACUGAUUUUAUUUUAGUGAAAUGAAUUCAAUUUUCUUUCUUUUUUAAACAGGGAAAAGUGUCCCCCAUGAAUCUGUGUUCUGGAAGCUUUAUUUACACCCCCACUUUUGCAGUCAGAUCAGAACUUCCUCAUGGUUUCAGCACCGAAACUUACUAACCAACUGGUGUCUUUGCACCUUUCAAAAGUGCACCCUCUCUUACGGUCUUAAUUCCCACCCCUCUCACCGUCCUAGGGAACAAGUCAUCACCCUCUCUAUCCAGACGUGUGCAGUGACCUCUAGACCAGUCUCCUUGGGCCCCUCGCCCAGUCCCCUACCCUUUUUGAGCCGCUAGUGUGGCCUACCUAGCAGCCAGAAUGAUCUUUUAAAAACACAAAUCAGAUCAUUUAGGAAACAGUAUAAAAUUCUACUUCUUAUAAGAACUGGUAAUGGGAGUGCAGAAUUGUUUGCAUACAGUUUACAGAAGGCAUAGCUUUGGUGGGGGAGGGUGGUAUUUUCUGAAGCAUCCUCGCCAUCUUGAUUGGUGGCUGCCAGGCAUUUCCUGAGCAGACUUCACAGAGGCAGGAGGUCCAGAAACGUCCCGGCGACAGGCUGAGCCCGCAAAGAGUGCUAUGAUUGUAUUUCACUGGUGCCCUUUCUCCAGAGAUUCAAAGACCCUGGAACGUGACCUAUUAACUAUUCUAGUUACCAGGAAACAUUUUAUUUUCUCUGCUUACCUGGAAGGUAUCUUGAUUGUUUCAAAUAGUACUGUUUAGCUGUUGAAGCAGUUGACAAUUCCGAAUCAGAUUUUAGGGAAAUAGCAGGGGGUAAGUUCUUGUUUUCCUCUGUUGAGUGGUUGGGGCCUGCAGGUACUGACUCUGGAAGCCUUGAAAGUCAACAUAAAGUAGCAUCACCGGGUGAAGAACAGGAAGAUGACGGCUGCUAUGCUCUCGCCCACCCUCCGCCCAUCUUUCCAAGCCAGUCAGUGGUUUCCAUCAGAGACCUUCUGCUGAUAGCAUUAAAUGACAGCCCCUCUCCCCGAGUAGAUAUCGGGCAGUGCAUAGAAUCCUUCCUAAUACUGGACAGUAUGAGGCAGAAAGCUUUGUAACUAAGCAGCAAGUUGCCUGUGUGCAGUAUGUUUCCAUUUUUCCUGCGACUGCCGCAGCUGUGGAUUUGUGAUGUGGGAAGAUGGCAUGUUGGAAGGGAAGAGAAUCACAGCCAUCUCCAGCUGGCUACUCCAGCAAUGUGUAACCACUAAGGUUGUUAGAACACGGUUUAGGCUGGACUAAGAGAACUGAAGUGGGGAAGUGUUAGGAAAGUCCCCAAACAGAAUUUCCAAAGAGCCUGAUGACAUACAGAGACAUCAUGCAUUUGUUGAGAUGUGCCUGUUCCCCAGAAGGCAGAAUCGACUUGGGCGGUGGCGAGCGCCUGGCUGGGUGCCUCUGUCCCCCAGUGCCCGGCCUCCUACGGCCCCAGUUCUGUGUAGGAACGGAGGCCUUCCGGCAUCCAGGCUUAGCUCUGUCUAGUUCCUGAGGCCAUCUGUCCGAGCGGCAGCCUUCGCUACCAGAGGAUGGGGCUGUGGUUGGUUUUGCUGCCUGUCGCUCUGUGUGCAGCCCGGCACCACGACCUUCUCUCCCACCUGUGACCGGGCCUCUUCCUGUGCUGAGGCCUGGCCCCCCGGCCAGCUCUCGUCACCUGUCUGACCCCAGGCCUCCACGGUUCCCCCAGGAAAGUCCUGCUUACCACUUCGACCCCCUCAGGGAUGGACACUGCUGUGAUUGGCCCUUUGGACUGCUGGCCGCCACUUUGGGGUGGCCCUGGACACAGGGAGCCCCCUUCAUUAGAAACAGCCCUACUCAUUUCCGGCCACUGUGUUUACACCCUGCUUUCCAACACUGGCUAAAAUACCCUAUUUCUAAAUGCCGGGUUUUCCCCUUAAAGAGAAAUACAUAUAGGACCAGGAAGGGUGAAGAGCCAGUCUUCUGAUCUGUCCCUUUGGUUAGCACCUCAACGCUUGUUACACCCUCGUGCCCGGCAAGAUUGGAAGUGGCUGAGAGGUGUGACUUUCUGACUUAAAAGUGGAAGGGGGAUUAAGCAGGUUUAUUCUGUUUCUUCUCAAGUUUGGGGAUUUUAGGGAGGAGUAGCUGUGGAACUUGGGGAUCUGGAAAUUGACUGACUGAGAAUUAUCUCCCCCCGGAAAGUCUUCAUCUACCUUCAGAGGUAUGUGUACUCCAAAGUGAAGGCUUCUGCGCCGUACUGUGCCAAACAGCUAUGAGAGAAAUUUCCCUGACUCCUGCGUCAUCUUUUCUCCCUGUUCCUCUUCUGUUCCAAGGCGGGGCAGGGACGAGGAAAAUAUUUUCCCAAAAUAUUCACCAAAAUUUCACCCAUCUUCACCUCAAAGUUGAAUAACAUGUGGAUUUCAAAUGGGAAUUAUGGGGAUCAUAACUGAACAGGGGACACGAAAAACUGAACUAGAACUCCCUCUACACACGCUCAGCCUCUGGUGCUGGGCAUUGUCACUGUGAGGGACUCGGAGUCUUACUUUUUCAGAGGUGAGCACAGAGGUCUGGAUUUGACAGGAGAAACAACAUAAGCUGCUUCUUUUAACAUGUACACUCAUUUAUACGUAAUGAGUAAAGUUGAUGCCUGACGAAAACAUAUUUUCCCGAGAAAUGUGAAAUCUUACCAAGAUGGAGAAUCUGUUUUCCUCGUUUCUUUGAAAACACGCAUGCUUGGCUUCUUGGAAUGGGAGACCCCGAAGUCACAUUCCUCAAACUCUUCCCAACCGUCUUCAGCCUUGAACACAGCCUGACCCCAACGCCUCCUGGCACCUUUAUGGCCCAGAGUGCCAUUUGGCUUCUGUGGUGGGAAACCGGUGUCGUCAUCUUUAAUCGGGUGCUGAAUGCCUUUUAUGUGCAAGCUAUUAUAUUUGAGGCUAAGAGUCCCCAUCCUCAAGGAGCUUUCCAUACAGUGAAGGAGAUAACAUAUAUACAUAUUUAAAAGUAUUAAGGAAAAUAGGUAGCGCAUGCUAAAAAUAUGAUAGGAAAUUGAGAGAGGACAGAUCUCUGUGAACUUGGGUUGGGGGAGACUUGAAUAUGUAGGAUCAGAAUUGACUCUUCGUUGAUGUGUAAUCUGGAAACCUGCCACGUGUGGCUGUGUCUCUGGGCAAAUGACGUAACUUUUCAAAGCCUUAGUUUCCUUCUCCUCAAAUGGUGACAUACAGUAUUUAUGUAAUUUAGUGUUUUCGGAUUUGAUAGUAAAAUACAUUGAAAGUUUUUAGGAUAGGGCCUGGCACAUAAGCGUUACUGUAGGUUAGGUAUUAUUGCUGUGGUUGUUAUUCUAGAGUUUGGAAGAGGAGAUGCGUAGAGUACGGCUUUUUAAUGGGAAAGAGCCAGAGCGUGUUCCACGGGGAAAGGGCGGAGCGGACUGCGUUUACUGAAGCAGAUGUUCGUGCUGGGUGGAGGAUAGGGUUGUAAAGACAGGCCGAUGCUAUAUGAUGAGGGGCCUUCAUUGUACGCCUGGGACAUCGCAGCUGUCCUGUGGGCAGUGGAGAACACUGGAUGUUUUUGAGAUUAAAAAGUGAUGUGAUAAAGGCAGCAUUCGAGAAAGGUCAGGCUCCUCAGAUAGGAGGCCUUUGCAGUUAACAGUGGCACGUGGUAACAAGAGCCACGGAUUCAUAGUGGUUGGAAUGCUCAUGAAAGAAUACAUUUGCUGUUAACAAGAAAUAAAAGGUCUGGACUUUUUUUCUGUCUCUCCGAACAGAGGUCAAGGAGAGUGUAGCAGACACUGCUUCCUCACUAAGAUUUUGUUCAGGGCAGCAAUAUGCCCACGUAAAAGAUCUGAAAUGCCAGCCUCCCUUGCAGCUCUGUGUAGCCAUGGGACAUGACCUAGCCAGUGAGUUGUAAGUGCAAGUCUGUUGGGAGGGGCUUCCACGAGAAACAGUUUAGGCUCUGCCGGCCUGUGCCAGUGUCUUCCACUCUUCCCCCUUCUGGAAGGCAGAUGCAACCCCAAAGGAGCAGCAGCCAGCUGUGGCCACAGGACCGAGAGCCGUCUGCUGAGGAGGGUGGUAGAGCAGGAAGACAGAGCAGUCUGGCUCCUUUUAUGAGCUGCACCAGCUCUGGCUUACCCACCACCCACCUUCUCGCUAUGAGAGGAGAACAACCCCUCGUGGUUUAAGCCACAGUGGUCAGGUUCUGUCAUAAGUCACUGAAUGUAAUCCUGUUGGACACAGAGAAGGAAAGGCAGGGAUGGCUUUAAAAAUGUGAGCCUGACUGUCUCAGAAUGGUAGCUUUGUUAACAAAAAUAAGGAAUGAGGAAGAAGACCUGGUCUGGGGCAGACCAUGGGGUGGUUUGGGGGCAUAUAAACUGAAAAAUCCAAAAUGCAAUGGGAAAUUGGGGAAUUUGGAAGCAAGGUCAUCAAAUACAGCUGUGUUUGAAGUAAGAAGAUGCUUAAAGAAUGGAUAUGCCUUUGCUUGAAGCUGAUGGUGCCACAGUGAUGGAUGAUGAACAAAAAGUGGUAUUUGCCAACUUCUCUUAUACUCUUAUUUCUUGGUCAGAGAGAAUGAGCUCCAGACUAAGGAGAAUAAGAAGAUCUAAAGCCCCAGAACUUCUUUCUAGUCUUUCAGAUACAUACGCGUAUAUAGAGAGAGAUUUUACCUUACACAGACUUGCAGCUUCUGCAACUACUUGUGAAGAGCAAGUGGAAGGCUACGUUUGCCUCCUGGUCCUUGUAUUUGUCUAUACGUGAACUGCCUGGGGAAAAACUGCACUGGGUUGCAAGUCCAGUUGCAAUCCAGAGCAGUCAACUCCUCAGGUAUGUGUCAUCUCCAUUUUCACUUAUUCGUUCAGAGUACUUACUCGUAGCAGUCACAGUGUUAGAUUGUAGUGAUCCCAAGGUAAAUGAGUGAAUGUGUGAAUAAAUGAGUUGUGAAAGAAGGGCACACUUGUGUUAUUACCAAAAAACAAACAACAACAAAACUCAAUUGGCUAGCAAAAAAAAAGCCCAUAAAUCAAAAGCAUGAGACAUGGGGUAGUGAUGUACCUAUUAGUAAUUAUCCAUUAGGUGUCAGGCUCUGGACCUGGCACUGAGAAUAAUGCCAGGGUAGCAGGACAGACAUGUUCAUGGUCCUCUCACAGCUUAAAGCGAAAAAGACAGGGGAAGUAAGAAGCAUAAGUUAGAUCAUGGAGGUCUUAUAUGCCCAGUUAUGAAGCCUAAGCCUUAUCAGGCAGUAACUGGGGAACCAGUGAAGAAUUUUCUACAGAGGAGUGAUAUGUUCACGUUUGCAUUUCAGAAAGAUCACAAAAGCAGCAGUGGGUAAGGUGGAUUUCAACAGUGAUUGUAAAGGCAACAGAAUAAAAAGGAGGCCAUGGCAAUCGAUCAGGAAGAAACGAUGAGGAUCCAACUAUAGCAGCGAGGCUGGGAAUAGGACAGAGAGGGAGAGAACCCAAGGGAUAUUUAGGAGUUAAAAGUGACAGGACCAUGUGGCUUAGAUGAGUGGUGUCAUUCCAGUGCUAGGAUCCUCUGCACCUUCCUCAGGGUGAUCCCAGAAGUUUCAGGCAGAAGCCAGGGAGGGCUCAUACCUAGGAGAUCAAAAGACAUUGAACCCAAAACACUCAAUUGGAACUUCAGCCACAAAACAUCCCUAUGGAUGACUUUGACCAUCUUGAAGGGCCGCAGGACAGGGUUGGGAACCUGAGAUCUGGCCUGUCUGUCAAGAAGCAGGUACUUCACUGCGUUAUGUUUAAACAGAUUAUUCAGUUCACUUCGUUCCUUUUGCAAAUAAGUCUAGAGUCUGUCGUGCUUCAGAGGAAGUCAUAAAUUAUAUCCUCUCAAGUGUGUUUGCUUCUGUCAAAUGAAUUUGAGGAGCUGAUCUUUAUCAAUAUGUUUCUAAGUCCAGCAACUUUGUUUAUACGUUUUAUUCACUGACUUAGAAGAUUCUACUGUAAUAUGAUAUAUCAUCAAAUUCCUGCCCAAAAUGAAGUUUGAAAACUCUGAAAUAAAAAUUUUUAAAUACUAGAGGGACAUCAUAAAGACAAGUGACUAUUGAAAUUAAAAUUUUCAUUCCCAGCUUUUUUCAUUUCUUAAAAUGCAUACUUUUUGAUUUGGGUUAUGAUGGGACAUUUGGGGGAGGUUAAGUUUAAAAACUCAGGAAAUCAAUGCAGCUUUUUAAAGUACAGGAGGUAAAUGUAAGCUUCACAUUUUUAAAACACCACACAAGUCUUCGAUUGAUAAGUAUAAUUUUUAAUUGGCUUCAUACGGAUGGAGACUUUAGAGGUAUUUAUUUAGAUAUAUUUGUAUUUUAUUUACUUAUUUAUUUGUUUGUUUGUUUAUUUAUUUAUUUAUUGGCUGCAUCUCCCGUGGA